GCAUUAUUAAAUUUUUAUUCAUACACUGUCAUGUCAUUUGACCAAUUAAUUAAAUAAUAAUACAGACUGCAAAUAAAACUUAAUACACAGCUACGUUAACUCGCGCAAACUAUUGCUAUUGUUAUUGGUUGUUUCGCCGUUUUACUUUGAGCAUGAUUGGUUAAUCUGUCUGUUUUCCAGGAAACCGUCCAAUGAGAAUGUGCGUGGCUCUGCGCGCCUAUUUUAAAUUUGAAAAUAUGUCCGUUACUCUCGGUCGGAGCAGCUGCUUUGCGUUGAUUACUCGGUCAGACCUGGAUUAUUUUAUAUCUGCCUGUUGAAUUCUUACAUUUUGAGCGAAUUUUAGUUGAUAUGUCAGUGAAGAACAAAAGCUGGAAUGUGAACAGAGGAAGGGGUUGUACGUGGUCUGUAAAUACUGGCGAUAUCAGAUCAAGCAUUGGAAUAAGAUUUUUAUCGGGGGAGAACACCCAACAGAAAGACCCAUGAUUCACCAACUGGCGCACUGAAAGGGGAGAUUCAUGUCACCUUCAUCAGUUCUUUCUUUAAUCACUGGACACCAUUAAGGGAAAGACCCUCAG